CCUACGGGAGGCAGCAGUGGGGAAUAUUGGACAAUGGGCGAAAGCCUGAUCCAGCCAUGCCGCGUGUGUGAAGAAGGUCUUCGGAUUGUAAAGCACUUUAAGUUGGGAGGAAGGGCAGUAAGUUAAUACCUUGCUGUUUUGACGUUACCAACAGAAUAAGCACCGGCUAACUUCGUGCCAGCAGCCGCGGUAAU
rnacentral:rRNA from 3 species